rnacentral:rRNA from 1 species
AGUGAACGCUGGCGGUAGGCCUAACACAUGCAAGUCGAACGGCAGCACAGUAAGAGCUUGCUCUUACGGGUGGCGAGUGGCGGACGGGUGAGGAAUACAUCGGAAUCUACUUUUUCGUGGGGGAUAACGUAGGGAAACUUACGCUAAUACCGCAUACGACCUACGGGUGAAAGCAGGGGAUCUUCGGACCUUGCGCGAUUGAAUGAGCCGAUGUCGGAUUAGCUAGUUGGCGGGGUAAAGGCCCACCAAGGCGACGAUCCGUAGCUGGUCUGAGAGGAUGAUCAGCCACACUGGAACUGAGACACGGUCCAGACUCCUACGGGAGGCAGCAGUGGGGAAUAUUGGACAAUGGGCGGAAGCCUGAUCCAGCCAUACCGCGUGGGUGAAGAAGGCCUUCGGGUUGUAAAGCCCUUUUGUUGGGAAAGAAAAGCAGCAGGUUAAUACCACGCUGUUCUGACGGUACCCAAAGAAUAAGCACCGGCUAACUUCGUG